rnacentral:rRNA from 1 species
CACGUAGGGACCAAGCGUUGUCCGGAUUUAUUGGGCGUAAAGAGCUCGUAGGCGGUUUGGUAAGUCGGGUGUGAAAACUCAGGCUUAACCCUGAGACGCCACCCGAUACUGCUAUGACUUGAGUCCGGGUAGGGGAGUGGGGGAAGUUCCUGGAUGUAGCGGUGAAAUGACGCAGAUAUCAGGAGGAACACCGGUGGCGAAGGCGCCACUCUGGGCCGGUACUGACGCUGAGGAGCGAAAGCGUGGGGAGCAAACAGG